UGCAAGGUUAAGCAGUAAAUGUGGAGCCGUAGCGAAAGCGAGUCUGAAUAGGGCGUUUAGUAUUUGGUCGUAGACCCGAAACCAGGUGAUCUACCCUUGGUCAGGUUGAAGUUCAGGUAACACUGAAUGGAGGACCGAACCGACUUACGUUGAAAAGUGAGCGGAUGAACUGAGGGUAGCGGAGAAAUUCCAAUCGAACCUGGAGAUAGCUGGUUCUCUCCGAAAUAGCUUUAGGGCUAGCCUCAAGUGAUGAUUAUUGGAGGUAGAGCACUGUUUGGACGAGGGGCCCCUCUCGGGUUACCGAAUUCAGACAAACUCCGAAUGCCAAUUAAUUUAACUUGGGAGUCAGAACAUGGGUGAUAAGGUCCGUGUUCGAAAGGGAAACAGCCCAGACCACCAGCUAAGGUCCCAAAAUAUAUGUUAAGUGGAAAAGGAUGUGGCGUUGCCCAGACAACUAGGAUGUUGGCUUAGAAGCAGCCAUCAUUUAAAGAGUGCGUAAUAGCUCACUAGUCGAGUGACACUGCGCCGAAAAUGUACCGGGGCUAAACAUAUUACCGAAGCUGUGGAUUGUCCUUUGGACAAUGGUAGGAGAGCGUUCUAAGGGCGUUGAAGCAUGAUCGUAAGGACAUGUGGAGCGCUUAGAAGUGAGAAUGCCGGUGUGAGUAGCGAAAGACGGGUGAGAAUCCCGUCCACCGAUUGACUAAGGUUUCCAGAGGAAGGCUCGUCCGCUCUGGGUUAGUCGGGUCCUAAGCUGAGGCCGACAGGCGUAGGCGAUGGAUAACAGGUUGAUAUUCCUGUACCACCUAUAAUCGUUUUA
rnacentral:rRNA from 1 species